GCUCGCUUUGGCAAAACAUAUACUAAAACUGGAAUGACGCAAAGAAGAUAGCAUGGCGCCUGCGCAAGGAUGAGUCUGUUAAAAAAAAUUCUUAACCUUUUGAU
ensembl:snRNA U6 U6 spliceosomal RNA